CCAGGAUGUGGGGUCUGUAGAUAUUUUCUCAGCCCUCCUUCUGACCCACACAAUAUACAGGUCUUCUACGGAAAGGAGGCUGGUUGCAAUUAUUUUUUCUGCAGUUCUAACUAUCCAUUGAAGUACCUGUCCUAUUUAGCUGCUGUACCAAACCAGUCAGUUAUAGAAGUACAGGUGACAGACAGACUCAAUAAUUCUUCUGCAGAAUUGUAUGAACAGCUCCUGGGGCAGUUUGAACUUCCUAAGUUGACACAGGAAGAACAUUCUUUGUUAGAAAUCUGUCUUCCAAU